rnacentral:rRNA from 1 species
GAGGGGCCCGCGUCGGAUUAGCUUGUUGGUGGGGUAACGGCCCACCAAGGCGAUGAUCCGUAGCUGGUCUGAGAGGAUGAUCAGCCACACUGGGACUGAGACACGGCCCAGACUCCUACGGGAGGCAGCAGUAGGGAAUAUUGGACAAUGGGCGCAAGCCUGAUCCAGCAAUGCCGCGUGAGUGAUGAAGGCCUUCGGGUUGUAAAGCUCUUUCGCCCGCGACGAUGAUGACGGUAGCGGGAGAAGAAGCCCCGGCUAACUUCGUGCCAGCAGCCGCGGUAAUACGAAGGGGGCGAGCGUUGUUCGGAUUUACUGGGCGUAAAGGGCGCGUAGGCGGCCGAUCAAGUCGAGUAUGAAAGCCCCGGGCUCAACCUGGGAAUUGCGCUCGAGACUGGUCUGCUUGAGUUCGGGAGAGGAGCGUGGAAUUCCCAGUGUAGAGGUGAAAUUCGUAGAUAUUGGGAAG